UCCUCAAUAGCUCAAAGGUAGAGCGAUCGGCUGUUAACCGAUUGGUCGUAGGUUCGAAUCCUAUUUGAGGAG
rnacentral:tRNA from 1 species